CAUCACAAGAAGAAGGCUAUAGAAAAGGAGAAAGCAAGUUUGUUUCUAAUACCUGUAGGGAUCAGGAAUAUAUGAACUUAUUGGACACUUUUUUAAUAUAUGCUAUGAAGAUCUUAAUAAUCUGGCCAUUCCACAGACCAUAAUGAUCCACUAUGUUAAAUGCUGAUUGACCUGGUAAGCAGAAGUAACAAAUACUGUAGUAGCUCUGGGGAGGCAUUUUUGGAGCAACUCAUUAAUGUGCAAUGAGUCUAACUCCCCACUCCAACUCAGAGUAGGGAAAUGCCACACUGGUCAAAGGGGCUUCAACAGAACACUCCGAGAACUUGUCUCACAAAGCCUGGGAGCCAAGUGUCUGAUUUCCUCCUGCAAAUGCUAUGGUCCAGAGACAAGCUGAUUGGCCACUAAUGACAGUCAAAGGGAUGGUGGCUGAGUCGGAUUCAGCGUGAACUCCCAGAGUUUGUUGGCACAAAAGAGGCAUAAGCGUUUCCCUGGACCAGAUGUGGGGCUGGCAGGAAAGAGAGAGCCUGAACACUAUUACACUCUAUCCAAGUAAAGAGCGGAAUUAAGGAGAGAAAAAUUGUAGGUAAUACCUUAGUUCUAGUGGCUAUGGAAAGACUAAGUUACCAGAAAGAACAGACAAAUAUUUUCUAUUAUCAAAAGAAACACAGGUUAGAAAUCCCCCAAAAUUUGGAGAUGGAAGUUUUCCUCCAAAGGACACUCAAGUGCCCCAUGAGAGGAAGAGUCAGCCUUAAACACCUGCCAAAUCCAGAGAGCAAUGCCAGCUUG